CUCAUUUGUAUGAAUGUUGGACACUGGUUAAAAAUCUAUUGAUUAAGAUAUUAUAUACUUUUGUAUUUUGAAAAACUACAAUAAUAUUUCUUCUUUGUCCAUACAGAACUAGCGCUACUAUCACAAAUUGUUUCUGUCAAUUCCAUAAUCUAUCAAGCCAUCAAGUUCUGGUUUGCCAAAGUGGUAUUUUUAAUUUAUUUUGUUGACUAGCGCAGUAUUUUACCUAUUUUUAAAUAAGUAGCAGGUAUAAUAUGCUAAACUUUAUAUAACUUUGUUAUUUUUUCUUUCACAAUAUUAUUACUGUAUCACCAGGUUAAAGUUUUGUUCGCAGUACUUAUUUCUUUUUUUGUUCAAGCGUGAUCGGAAUUCUACUGUCUCCUUUUAUUGGUUGUUGACACGUGUUUACCAGCAUAGCAAACUCUUAUAUUAUUAUUACUGGUCUCUAGAUAAUGACUUGGAUCUGAAAUUGUAACGCCUACUGAAAUAUUAACAAAAAUUUCUGCUAAUCGUGAUCUAGUCAAUAUUAUGUUAUUAGGUAGGUAAUUACAUCAACGUGUUUGGGUAUCGUAACUAUUUUGAAGUCUGAACAAUGGCAUAUUUAUUGGGGGAAUCAAGGAGAUCUUGAUAUUUUUUUAGUAGCUAUUAUUUAUACAAACACUCAAUUUUUAAAUACAAAUUUAUCUGCUUUUUAGUCAGAAAAAUCAAAAAUGCAUUGGCAUCAUGUUAACACAGAUAUCAAAAAAAAAAAAAAAACUUAAACAAUAGGUACCUACGUAUAUUUCUUUGUUAAAAACGAAACCUAUCU